rnacentral:rRNA from 1 species
AGCAGCCGCGGUAAUUCCAGCUCCAAUAGCGUAUAUUAAAGUUGUUGCAGUUAAAAAGCUCGUAGUUGAAUUUCGGGGUUCUACCGUUGGUCGGGCUAUUGUCUGUACUGGCGUGUAGAAUUUCUACCUUCUGGGGAACCAUCAUGUUAUUAAUUUAGCGUGGUGGGAAACCAGGACCUUUACCUUGAAAAAUUAGAGUGUUCAAAGCAGGCUUACGUCUGAAUACAUUAGCAUGGAAUAAUAAAAUAGGACGGUGGUCCUGUUUUGUUGGUUUCGGAAUCACCGUAAUGAUUAAUAGGGAUAGUCGGGGGCAUUAGUAUUCAAUUGUCAGAGGUGAAAUUCUUGGAUUUAUUGAAGACUAGCUACUGCAAAAGCAUUUGCCAAGGAUGUUUUCAUUAAUCAAGAACGAAAGUUAGGGGAUCGAAGACGAUCAGAUACCGUCGUAGUCUUAACCAUAAACUAUGCCGACUAGGGAUCGGAC